GUGUGAUUGUGUAUAGGAAUUCAUAGAUUGUAGUUGUUAGGUGAAAUUAUAAUUCUUUAAAGGUGUUUUUAGAUAGGGAUAGAUGAAAACUUCCCCUUUAAACUAGGAUUAGAUACCCUAUUAUUAGGAAUGUAGAUUUAAUUGGUCUUAGGAGUUGUAGGGAGUUUCUUGAAAUUAAAAUAAUUUGGCGGUGAUUUUUCCUUUUAGAGGAAUCUGUCCCUUUAACGAUAAUCCACGCUUGAUUUUACUUUAAUUGUUUUGUUUGUAUACCUCUGUCUAUUUAAUGUUUGCAGGAAUUAUUUUAUUGUAUUUAUGGUUAAUAAAUCAAGUCUAGGUGCAGUUUUUAUUAAAGUGGAGAUGGAUUACAUUUGUGUUAACUUUGGACUGCAAUUAGGAAUAGGUUUGUUUCAUGAAUUUGGAUUUAACAGUAAUUUGUUUUAUUUAAUUAUUUGUUUGAAUAGGUUCUGGGUCGCGUACAUAUCGCCCGUCAUUCUCAUUAAUAAUGUGAGACAAGUCGUAACAUAGUAAUUGUACCGGAAGGUGUAAUUAGAGUUU
rnacentral:rRNA from 1 species